ensembl:lncRNA
GUCGUCAUGAAAAAAAAACAUAAGGGGUAACACUGUCGUUUUUUAUUGGUCGUCAUGAAUAAAAACAUAAGGGCUAACACUGUCGUUUUUUAUUGGUCAUCAUGAAAAAAACAUAAGGAGUAACACUGUCGUUUUUUAUUGGUCGUCAUGAAAAAAAACAUAAGGGGUAACACUGUUGUUUUUUAUUGGUAGUCAUGAAAAAACUACCAAUAAAAAAACGAAAAAAAAAAAACAUAAGGGGUAACACUGUCGUUUUUUAUUGGUUGUCAUGAAAAAAAACAUAAGGGGUAACACUGUUGUUUUUUAUUGGUCGUCUUGAAAAAAAACAUAAGGGGUAACACUGUUAUGUUUUUGAUUGGUCGUCAUGAAAAAAAACAUAAGGGGUAACACUGUUGUUUUUUAUUAGUCGUCAUGAAAAAAACAUAAGGGGUAACACUGUUUUUUAUUAGUCGUCAUGAAAAAAACAUAAGGGGUAACACUGUCGUUUUUUAUUGGUCGUCAUGAAAAAAACAUAAUGGGUAACACUGGUUUUUUAUUGGUCGUCAUGAAAAAAAACAUAAGGGGUAACACUUGUUUUUUUUUGGUCGUGUUAUGACUAUGGUCAUUUCUUGUGUUCGGUCUGCUGUGUGCUUGUGUGCCCUGUGCUUUUUUCUCUUUCUCCUGACAUGCAUAAAUGAGUGUGCCGGGACGCGGAGAUGAUUGGUGGACGAGGUUCGAGCCCUGGCCUGUGGUUGGCUGCAGCCGGGAACUAACCACUACAAAGGAGCCAAGAUGGCGGCCGUCUGGGGGCAGCCGGUUUUUCCCCCGUCCUCUUCCUCUUCCAACCGCCACUUUGUCGUCGGUCUCGUGGGACAUUACCUAAUAGUUGAUAGUUAACGUGUGUGAUCGUAAGGGUGGACUGCCAGUUUUGUUUACGGUGUUUUCUCUUGUUUUACUUAGAUAGGGAGGUAAGAUUUGUAGUUUGUUUUCUUAAGGCUAGUUUCUUACUUUCUAGAUAGGUUUGUGUUAUUUGUUAUUUUGGCCUUGGUCCGCCCUGAAGUUUAUCUUGUAUAUCUAUAGAUUUAUUUACUACCUUGCAUAAAUAAAUCUUUCCUUCACACAACUGAUGAUUUGGGUUGUGGCUACUUGGGAGUUGGGGAAGACGGGGGCUCAUUCAUGUUAGGCCCUAGGCACCCCUAGACUGGGGCGUAACAUGAAUGAGCCCCCGAAA